AUUAAACGCUGGCGGCAUGCCUUACACAUGCAAGUCGAACGGCAGCACGGGGGCAACCCUGGUGGCGAGUGGCGGACGGGUGAGUAAAGCAUCGGAACGUAUCCUGGAGUGGGGGAUAACGUAGCGAAAGUUACGCUAAUACCGCAUAUUCUGUGAGCAGGAAAGCAGGGGAUCGCAAGACCUUGCGCUCUGGGAGCGGCCGAUGUCGGAUUAGCUAGUUGGUGGGGUAAAGGCCUACCAAGGCGACGAUCCGUAGCGGGUCUGAGAGGAUGAUCCGCCACACUGGGACUGAGACACGGCCCAGACUCCUACGGGAGGCAGCAGUGGGGAAUUUUGGACAAUGGGCGCAAGCCUGAUCCAGCCAUGCCGCGUGAGUGAAGAAGGCCUUCGGGUU
rnacentral:rRNA from 1 species